ACAGGGAAGAGAGAUGAGCUGUCUUCCUGAGUCUUGCCCAAAUUGCAAAAUUGUUAGCAAAAAAGUGAAUGCCGUGAUUUUUAAACACUGUUUUAGGGUGGUUUGCUAUAUAGCAAUAGAUAACUGAAUCAUAAUUGCAUGCCUAGAAGUGAGGUCCUGCUGCCCCAGAAACCUAAAACAUGUGGCAAUGGCUUUGGGAUCAGGUGGAGGAUGGAAGCUGGGCAAAUCUGAGAAGUCUGUUAGUGAAGAGCAUUAUUAAAGGACAGGGACAGCAUUGUUAGUGGGCUGGAGAAGGGGGACUCCAUUUCUGUACUGGAAGAGCAAUUAGCUAAACUAGCCUGCUAGUACAUGAAAGACAGAAAUGAUACCCAAUGAACAUGUGGAUCUGGCUAAGCAGAUACUUGGUUAGAAUGUUGAAAGGGUUGAAUGGUUACUUUUAGAGGCUUAUGAUAUAGUACAAGAAAAAUGAGAUGAGCCGAAAAAGGAACUGUUCCAUUUCUGAUCAGCAUUUAGAGGAAACAUAAGCCAGGACUUGCUGGAUUUGAAAUAAAACUAGCUCUCUUUCCUAGCUUCUCCAGAGGACAAAACUCUCAAAAUGAGACAUGGCUUGUGGACAAAGGUCAAAUUCAGAGUGCUCUCAGGAAAGUUCAAGACCUUCUGUGAAGUUCAAGACCAAGGUGAAGCUAGAAGACCCUGUGGUAGGCAGCGUGUACAAUGGCCCCAAUGAUCCCCACCUGCUGGUAUUCAAGUCCUUUGUAGUCCGGUCCCCUUGAGUAUGAGCUGGGCCUAGUAACUUGCUCUCAACGAACAGCACAUGGCUAAGGUGAUGGGUAUCACCUCCGAGAUGAGAGUGCAAAGGGACUGUGGCUCCCCCUCUUUGCUCUCUCACAUGCUGCCUUUGACAGAAGCCAGCUGCUAUGGUGUGAGCCGCCCUAUAGAGAGACCUGUGUGGCAAGGGACAGUGGAGGCUUCCAUCCAAGAGCCAGCAAGGACCUGGGGCCUUUCAGUCCAACAACCCGCAGCGAACUGAUACUACCACCAUCCUGCCAACAACCGUCACCCAGUUAGGAUAUUCCGUUACGGCGGCCUGAGCUGACUGAAACUAGACCACAGCCCGGCUGACACCUUGUUUGCAGCCUUCGAGAGACCAUGAGGCAGAGGGACCCAGCUAAGCAGAGCCGCGGAGUCCUAACCAACAGGCUGUGAGUUCUCAGGUCUUCGGAUCAGGAGGAACCAUGUCGAGGAGCCAUUAAGCCAAGACACUGAACCCGGAGCCACAUCUGCUCUUGAGUCUGACUUAGAUGUCAAUACCCCAAGGCCAGGGGUUGGGGCACUUGUUCUGUACAGGGCCAGAUAGUAAAUAUUUUAGGCUUUGCAGGUCAUGUGUGAUCUCUGCCACAUAUUCUUCUUUGUUUUUUAUAACCUGUGAGAAUAUAAAAACCAUUCAUAUCUCAGGGACUUAACAAAAAUAGACCACAGGUUGGAUUUGGCCCUUACACUGUGGUUUGUUCACUGCUGUCCUAGACUGAAUUGAUAUUUAAUGGGAUGAGAUAUUUUGGUACCUUAGGAGAGGAAACAAGUGUAUUUUUCAUUAGAAAAGGCUGUAUGGUAGAUGGUGACUGCUGGUCUUCAAACACAGCCCCAGUGGACUUCACUGCUGUACAUGCAUGUUGCUCCUGUCAUCAUGAGUUGGAGCUUAUGUGCCAUCCCUUGACUCUAAGCUGGGCCUGUUUCUGUUUUGACCAAUAGAGUGCAGAGGAAAUAACAUCCUGGGAAUUCUGAGUCCAGGCACUAAAAAAUUCUGGCAGCUUCUAUUUCUUCCCUUUUGCAACCCAGCUUCCAUGUAAUGAGAAAGCCAGAGCAAUCACCUAGAGUGGUUCACAUGGAGGAAAUUCAAGCCCUGGCCGUUCCCCAACACCACCACCACUCACAGCUUCGUCUGAGCUCCUCACAACAGCCAGAGCCAGCAACCAGCCUUGUGAGUAAGCUGCCUCCGAAGUAGAUCUUCUAUAACGAGCUUCUCCAGCUGAUACGGCAUGGAGCAGAGACAAGCUGUUGUCUCAGGAUGCUACCCAAACUGCCGAUACACCUGUGAGAAAAUAAAUGAUUAUUGUUUUAAGUGACUAGGUUUUGGGAUAGUUGCUUAUGUAGCAAUAUUUAAUGAAAACCCUGAGAGAGGGAACAGUGGAAGCAAGGCUCUGGAAACCAGAACGCAUGUGCAAGGAUAUACAUAAUUAUAGUAACUCUUGACACAAGCAUUAGAGCUAUAAAACAACAAAAAUCACAAAUGCCACUUUCUUGCUUAUACUUUUCCUUCUAGAAGAACAUAAAGUGGAAAAAUAUAUGUGGCCCCUUCAGAACCUUACUAAAUACAUUGCUGGGUACGUGAUGAUAAGUGUGAAAACAACAAAGAAAGGCUGAGGUGUGGCUGUGGGGCAGUCGGCGAGGCACACUCAAAAUUAAGUGACUUUUCCCAUCACCAACUUUUUAGCAUAAUUACUUUGAAUUUGUGCUUCAGGAAAGUAAUAAACUGGCAAUGUCUCUGGCCUUUUGGAGAGUUACUUAUAAGCAAUCAAAGGUCAAACGCUAAAUUACAUUUUUUGUGCUGUCUAACUUGUCUAGAAUGUGGAGAAACUCCGAGUGAGAGGAGGUAAGGCUGAUAUAUUUAGUUCUUAUUAGGAACCACUCUUUACAUGGAAUUCUUCAGUGGCUAGUGAAGUAGAUUUGAGCAAGGGGACAAAGGCAAUGGGGACAGUGACACCAAAAGGCCCACAGGCAAGUAGUAAAAAGAGGAGGAAAUGGAAGCCCUUUCCACAGGGAAGCUACGUGGUUUGACAAAUGAUUGACUGUAGGGAUAAGGGGAAAUAAGGCAUCUGACCUAACAGCCAGAUUUCAAGUUUUCAAAGAUUUGGAGAUGCCAACUCCAAAAAGAAAGAAACAAACAGAUGUCAGAGGAGACCUCAUUGUAUAGACAGAUAAGGAGUUCUGUAUCAGCAUAUUAUGAGGUUUGCUCAUGUCAGAUCACACUGAUCGUUGAGAAAUGGCUCUGUAUUUCAAAAGAGAUAGCAGGUAAUACAUAUAUUUGGGUUCCGUCUGAACUGAAAUCACAGGUGAGCUUAAACAACAGGUCAGAGAAGAGAAUCUAGGAAAUAUCUAUGCUUACACAGGACAAGGAGAAAGACUUGCCAGAAAAGAGAGACCAAACAGCCAGACCUAAGAGCAGCACAUGAAUAAAAAUAAAAGCAGCUGACAGCACAGCCCAGGGAGGGGACUGCGCUACAAAUGUCACAUAGAUGGUCACAUUUUAUUGUUUGCAUAUGGCAGGUUAAACAUACACCAUUCUAUCCACUCUGUUCCAGAACCUCUACUUAAAACACAGAAAGGAUUUGUUGUUACCAUCAUUAUUUUAAGACAUAAACUAACAAGGAUGAAGAGAAUGAAGAAAAGGAGUGGCAGCAUAGUUUGGGAAGCUGCAAAGCAUGGAGACACAUACUCAGAGAACUAAAUCCUCAGCCCGAUGGAGCAGGCUAAUAGGCAAUCUUAUGCUAAAGAGUCCCCAAGAGACUCAAGCCCCUAGAGGAGCUGGCACCUCGGAAGUGAGGAUGAAAAGGGCUAUAACGCAGAGGACUGAUUGAAAGGAAAGUGGUUGGUACCCAGAGUCCUCUCCUGACCCCCUCCCCACAUUUUAUUAUUAAAUGAACAUUUAAAAUGUUCUCCCCUCACUUUAGGAGUAUCCAACAGGAAAAAGAAAAACAUUUUCCUUAAGAGUUUAUUUCUCUUCAUGUGAAAAAAGACUUCAAAUCAACUUAGGUAUAAAAUAAAUUUUUAAGAGUCAAAAGACAUUACUAAUUAGGUAAGAUAAGCAUCAGUGGCUGAGAAGUCACACAACUAGGUCUUUUCUGUGUGUGUGAAAAUUUAAGGGUCCUGAUAAUCAUAAAAAUUAAUGUUUACCUUAAGUGACCCACUUUCAAAUUUGUGCCUUUUUUGAGUAUAAUUAAUUUUUGCAAAGUUUGAUGGAAACUUCUCUGAUUGAAAGGUUUAAAAGUAGUGGCUGGAUAUAUUCAAAUAGGUCCAAGAUGUUCUUUGAAAAGUUUGUACCAACCACUUAUUAAUUGGGUUGUUUUACAUUUGCUUUUUAAUUAAUUUUUAACAUGUAUUUUAAAUAGCAUGAUGAUGUACUAAUACUUCAUAUUUGCUUUUUCAGUAAACACGUAUUAUGAACAUUUAUGCCUACCAAGACAUGUAGGAUUUCCGUCUUAUCUUUUUUAACACUUUGUAGAAUUCCACUGUGUGUGCACAAGUUCUAUAUGGGUGGAUUUUUGUACUGUUUCUGGUUUCUUAAUAUAAAACAGUGCAGUGGUAAGCAUCCAUGUACAAACAUCUUUGUACAUUAUUUGAUUAUAUCCUUAGCAUCCUCAUGAAGUCACUAGGUUACAUGGUAGGCAGACAUAAGUGUUAAUGUUUAUGGUUAGAAAGUUUAUAUAAUUUUUACUCCAGUGAUGUGAGUGCCCACUUCAUUACAACACUACUGACAUGGUCAAGAAAUUCGUCCUGCCAAUUUGUUGGUGAAAAAUACUAUUCUUUUAAUUUGUAUUUCUUGAUUAUUACAGGGCCUGACCAUUUUUUCAUGUUUAUAACCAUUUGGAAGUAGCCUCUCAUGCCUUUGUGCAUUUUGCUAAUGAGAUGUUUUUACAACUGAUCUUUGAAUUUUUGUUUCCAAUAUCCUACAACUCAUUCAUGUGUUCCACAGAUUUGACUGCUAGGUACCAUGUAGGUUCUUAGGAUACAAUAAUGAACAAGAGAGACACAAACCCAAUUUUCAGGGCUGAACGGUUUGGUAUGCAGCUGCAAUAAUGUGGAAUAUAAGCUAUAACUGGGGAAGUUCAAAUUUCUAGGGACUUCACCUGUGGCACAUACAUACUCUGGGUGGUCAGUAGAAGCUUCUAGGAGGAUGUGACAUGUCACUGAGUCCUAAAGGAUGACCAGUAGUGGCCAGUUAAAGUCAGAGUGGUAGGAGUAGAGAGCAUUCCAUUAGAAACUAGCCUGAAGGGAAGAGAGAGGGCUUUUGGGUUAGAAAACUGAAAAAAAAAAACAAAAAAAAGCCUGAAUAAUGCAGAAA